GUCCAUAACAGGUGACUUUUACACGUUUUUACCAGGACUGUGAAUACUGGCUCCUUUGUUCUGCAUCAUCUGGAACACUGAAACCUCUAAUCCAGAAAGAAAAAAAAGAAGAAAGAAAAGAAGAAGAAAGCAAAGGAUACUAAUUUCAGACAAAAAAAGUAAAACAAAAUAAAUAAAUAAGAAAAGCACAGCAGCGUAUGGAUUCCUGCGGCAGCUGAAGAAGUUUAACCUACCAAAGGCUAUGAUGGUGCACUUCUACACCUCCAUUGCUGAGUCUAUACUCACCUCCUUCAUCACCAUUUGGUACUCUGCUGCCACUGGCAAAGGCAAGAGCAGGAUGCAGAGUGUCUUUUGCUUUGCCGAGAAGGUGAUCGGCAGCAAUCCACCUCUUCAGGAUCUGUACACUUCCAGGACCCUUAAGCGGGCAGUUAAGAUUGUGGCUGACCCUCUCAUCCUGGACACAGUCUCUUUGAGGCACUCCCCUCUGGCAGAAGCCUGCGGUCUAUAAAGUCUAAAACUUCAUGCCACCAAAACAGUUUCUUUCCAUCCGCAACUGGCCUAAUCAACAACAUCCAUGACCCGGCAUGGUCUGUUAUUCGCCACUUUAACAUUAAUAAACGACCCCACCACUGCUCAGACACAUUAGGUUAAUGAUUGCAAACCUUACUGUUCUAAUGCACCUUCCUUUCUCACACUGGUCCACUAUUGUAUAUCCUGCACUAAUGUAAAGUUAGUUUUUUCUUUCAGUUAUAAUAUAUGAAACAUUUCUAAUUGUAUAUUUACACUGACCACUUUGCGCAUCCUGCAUUAGUGUACAAUUCAUGUCUCUAUUUUGCUUACAUCCAAUUGCUUUAUGUUUAUAAUUAUUAUUAUUAUUAUUAUUAUUAUUAUUAUUAUUAAGAGUCAUAUUUGUUUCUUAUAUUUCUGCUUCUUCUUUAUUAUUACUAUGCACCAACACACCAAGAAAGAUUCCUGUACAUGUUGAUUCAUCAGCAGGACCAGUAGAGUUUAGUAAAUGGUUGUUGAGGAAAUAAGGAUGAUUAGUGGUUGGUCACUGAGAUCAGUGGUGACCAGCGAAUUGGUUAUUGUGACCAGUAUUGAUCAGUGGCUGGUUGUUGGGAAACAAUUCAUCUAUUGCAGCUCAUCUGUUGUUCAUACCAGCAAAGGUAAAUGAAAACCCACUUUAAAUGAGUUUCUAGUAAUAUUUACUUUAGAACAAUCAAUAUAAGCACAUGAGGUUAAAUCUAUAAUACUUACCAUACAGUUCACUGUUUUGAGAAAAUAAAUAUUUGAAUUUCAUGGACACUCAUGUUAACCAGGCAUCUUUUUGUUAAAAAACAUGUGCUUUCUCGGAGGCGUCCAUGCUUCUCCCCACUAUGUAAUUUGAAUCCACCAAGUUCAUCAGACUUCCUAAUUCCAAGCUGAAUGCAACAUUACACCAUCCUUUUUGCUGUGUUCUCUGGUGGAGAGGGACAUCAUUACUCUCUCCCCUGUCAGUCAUCAGGACACUAAUCAUGAGUGCCUGUAAACUCACUGGUGUGGAAGAAGGCAGUUAGACAUUUCAUCUGCGCUGUGACGCAGCAUGAGAUGGGAGAUAAGACUCAGCAGACGUCCUUUUCCUGGGUGACUUACAGAAGUGGAAAGUUAUCUGUCCUUGUCUUGGAGGAAGCACAUGUUUGCCAUGGUUGUUGUGUGAUAGGGGAGUUAGCAAGUGGUUCGGAAUUAGCAGAUGAUGAAAUUGGGGAUAAAGUCCAAAACAAAUAAAAUAUGUUGCAAGAAUA